rnacentral:rRNA from 1 species
AAAUACCAAGGCGCUUGAGAGAACUCGGGUGAAGGAACUAGGCAAAAUGGCACCGUAACUUCGGGAGAAGGUGCGCCGGUGAGGGUGAAGCAUUUACUGCGUAAGCCCAUGCCGGUCGAAGAUACCAGGCCGCUGCGACUGUUUAUUAAAAACACAGCACUCUGCAAACACGAAAGUGGACGUAUAGGGUGUGACGCCUGCCCGGUGCCGGAAGGUUAAUUGAUGGGGUUAGCUAACGCGAAGCUCUUGAUCGAAGCCCCGGUAAACGGCGGCCGUAACAAUAACGGUCCUAAGGUAGCGAAAUUCCUUGUCGGGUAAGUUCCGACCUGCACGAAUGGCGUAACGAUGGCGGCGCUGUCUCCACCCGAGACUCAGUGAAAUUGAAAUCGCUGUGAAGAUGCAGUGUAUCCGCGGCUAGACGGAAAGACCCCGUGAACCUUUACUAUAGCUUUGCACUGGACUUUGAAUUUGCUUGUGUAGGAUAGGUGGGAGGCUUUGAAGCGUGGACGCCAGUUCGCGUGGAGCCAACCUUGAAAUACCACCCUGGCAACUUUGAGGUUCUAACUCAGGUCCGUUAUCCGGAUCGAGGACAGUGUAUGGUGGGUAGUUUGACUGGGGCGGUCUCCUCCUAAAGAGUAACGGAGGAGUACGAAGGUGCGCUCAGACCGGUCGGAAAUCGGUCGUAGAGUAUAAAGGCAAAAGCGCGCUUGACCGCGAGACAGACACGUCGAGCAGGUACGAAAGUAGGUCUUAGUGAUCCGGUGGUUCUGUAUGGAAGGGCCAUCGCUCAACGGAUAAAAGGUACUCCGGGGAUAACAGGCUGAUACCGCCCAAGAGUUCAUAUCGACGGCGGUGUUUGGCACCUCGAUGUCGGCUCAUCACAUCCUGGGGCUGAAGCCGGUCCCAAGGGUAUGGCUGUUCGCCAUUUAAAGUGGUACGCGAGCUGGGUUUAGAACGUCGUGAGACAGUUCGGUCCCUAUCUGCCGUGGACGUUUGAGAUUUGAGAGGGGCUGCUCCUAGUACGAGAGGACCGGAGUGGACGAACCUCUGGUGUUCCGGUUGUCACGCCAGUGGCAUUGCCGGGUAGCUAUGUUCGGAAUAGAUAACCGCUGAAAGCAUCUAAGCGGGAAACUAGCCUCAAGAUGAGGUCUCACUGGGACCUUGAGUCCCCUGAAGGGCCGUCGAAGACUACGACGUUGAUAGGUUGGGUGUGUAAGCGCUGUGAGGCGUUGAGCUAACCAAUACUAAUUGCCCGUGAGGCUUGAUC